UACGUAGGGUGCAAGCGUUAAUCGGAAUUACUGGGCGUAAAGCGUGCGCAGGCGGUUUUGUAAGUCUGUCGUGAAAUCCCCCGGGCUCAACCUGGGAAUUGCGAUGGAGACUGCAAGGCUUGAAUCUGGCAGAGGGGGGUAGAAUUCCACGUGUAGCAGUGAAAUGCGUAGAGAUGUGGAGGAACACCGAUGGCGAAGGCAGCCCCCUGGGUCAAGAUUGACGCUCAUGCACGAAAGCGUGGGGAGCAAACAGG
rnacentral:rRNA from 1 species